GUGUAAUCCACACGCAAGUUACUCGCUAGCUCUGGUUAAGUUCUUCACAAGGUUGACCACCCAUUGGAUUGGUCCCUUGUCAAUUCCCGACCGCUAAUAUUUUAUCUUAUCAGUGGAAUACCAUCGAUGUGAUCCACACGCGCUUCUGUUUCUGUUUAUCGGGGCUCCACACACAUUCCUGGCUUAAAUUGACAUCUCGCCUGGGUUAGCGCACGGCGUGUCAUAUUCAGUCCGAUUGAUCGAUCUUGUCCGUGCGGUUCUCUAGUAAGCACACCCUCGGAGUCACGAUGUCCGAUUCAUCGAAAAAUGUGCAACUUGUUGGCAGCAGUGCGCUGUGUUUACUGGUGCUGCUGUCCCUAACGCUGGGAGCGGUGUUUGGGGUUUCCGAGGGUCGCGUCAUCUACUACAACGCGGCGAGGAAAGAUACCAACACAACGGUCAACAAAUCCAACAUUUUCGUCUCUCCAGUGCGGUGUCCCGCCGGCUACGGGUUGGAUCGAUUCCGACGGUGCAGAAAGCUGGUCUUCUGAGGUUCUCUGGGGGGCGCAGUGAUGACAGAAUCUAAACCGACGAAGGAUUGAUUGUUGUUCGAGCGUAACGGAGCAGCCCAAAGGGGAUCCGCUGUUACAAUCGAUGAAUGUACUUGUGUAAAUAUGGUAUAUAGUUUUGAUUAAGUUCUCUUUGCAAUGUAUUAUUAUUAAUAAAUAAAUCACUAGCGUAAGGUAUAAGA